rnacentral:rRNA from 1 species
AGGAUGAACGCUGGCGGCGUGCUUAACACAUGCAAGUCGAACGGUGAACACGGAGCUUGCUCUGUGGGAUCAGUGGCGAACGGGUGAGUAACACGUGAGCAACCUGCCCCUGACUCUGGGAUAAGCGCUGGAAACGGCGUCUAAUACUGGAUACGAACCACGACCGCAUGGUCAGUGGUUGGAAAGAAUUUUGGUUGGGGAUGGGCUCGCGGCCUAUCAGCUUGUUGGUGAGGUAAUGGCUCACCAAGGCGUCGACGGGUAGCCGGCCUGAGAGGGUGACCGGCCACACUGGGACUGAGACACGGCCCAGACUCCUACGGGAGGCAGCAGUGGGGAAUAUUGCACAAUGGGCGAAAGCCUGAUGCAGCAACGCCGCGUGAGGGAUGACGGCCUUCGGGUUGUAAACCUCUUUUAGCAGGGAAGAAGCGAAAGUGACGGUACCUGCAGAAAAAGCACCGGCUAACUACGUGCCAGCAGCCGCGGUAAUACGUAGGGUGCAAGCGUUAUCCGGAAUUAUUGGGCGUAAAGAGCUCGUAGGCGGUUUGUCGCGUCUGCUGUGAAAUCCGGAGGCUCAACCUCCGGCCUGCAGUGGGUACGGGCAGACUAGAGUGCGGUAGGGGAGAUUGGAAUUCCUGGUGUAGCGGUGGAAUGCGCAGAUAUCAGGAGGAACACCGAUGGCGAAGGCAGAUCUCUGGGCCGUUACUGACGCUGAGGAGCGAAAGGGUGGGGAGCAAACAGGCUUAGAUACCCUGGUAGUCCACCCCGUAAACGUUGGGAACU